ACAUCCAUGUGAAGGGAAAGUGAGCAGGUGGUGGAUGGAGAAGGAUUGGGAUUUAAGAUCUAUCUAUGUUGGGAUUUGGGAACAAGACUAGUUUUCUCUUCUAAAUAUCCUUACAAGCUUUUCAGUUACACAGAACUCAGGAUAGCUUCUGAAAGGUGGGCAUUAGAGUUGAACUUAGAAUGUAGAUUUACCUUUUUGCUACUAUAACAAAUACCUUAAAUACCUAACUUAAAAGGAAGAAUGAGGGGACUGGGGAAUAUGGCUUAGUGGCCCUGGUUUCAAUUGCUUAGUAGCACAUAAACAGAAAAGGCAAGAAAUGGCACUGUGGCUCAAGUGGAGAGUGCUAGCCUUGAGCAAAAGAAGUCUAGGAACAGUGCCCAGGCACUGAGUUCAACCCUCAGGACUGGCAAAAUAAAAAAAGGAAGAAUGGUGUAUUUUGGCUCAUAGUGUCAUCAGUUUUAGUCCAGGCUCACUUGGCCUUUUUGCUUUUUGCCUGUGGUGGCACACAGUUCAUCAAGGAGUGGGCAUGUGCUUCAGGAGACUGCUCACAUCAUGACAUCCAAAAAUGAAAGAAAGAGAGACACUAGGGAGCCAAGGUUUCAAUAUACACUUUGAGGUUUGUCCACACAAUGACAACUUACUUUCCCUAGAAGCCACCUCUUAAAAGCUCUACUACCUCCUAACAUCACUGUACAUUGGAGAAAUGUCUUAACCCACAGUUCUUUGAGAGACAUUUAAUAUCCAAAUGAUAGCAAUGGACAAUAGUUGAUCAGGCAGAUGUGGAAGAAGAAUGACAGUGGUAGCUUGGAUAAAGAUAUGUUGGCAAGAUAGUGUGCUAUAUGUAUUUAUUAUUCAAAAAAAUUAAGUACCAUCCAUAUGUGAAGUACCAGUUUUGAUGUGAUCAAUUAAAAAUGGAAAAGAACUGUUUCUUUUUGGAACUCAUGUUCAAAAGAGUGAGAGGGAGUUAGAUAAUAGAAAAGGAAUAUAUACUUAUAUGUGGCAAUUCAUAUGGUGAUAUGUUUUAAGAAGGAAACAAAUCAGAUACGUAGAGAAACUGGAGAAGAGGGACCCAUUUAGAUGGAGUGGGUCUGGAAAAGCCUUUU